rnacentral:lncRNA from 1 species
GAAGGGAACUGGCCUAACUGCCUCCCGGUUAGUUAGACCAGAGCUGCAUCUAGACUCCAGUCUCCUGACUUCUAGAUGGUAGCUUUGUCCUUUAUACUGUGCCCAUCUGAUCGUAACAAUGAUGGGAUUUUUUUUGUUGGCAUGGCAUUUGUGGUUCUGGUAUUUGAUCUCUGCAGAAUUAUGUCCAAAGUGUUGCUAAUAUAAAACCUCUGUGCCCUGUCAUUAUGCACUGUUUCAAGUAUCAUAUGUUUUGUCAUUGAGUAACUAACAACCCUAAUUUCCUUUUCAGGACUGUAGAUGUCAUGUCACUCCCUUUCUUCCCCAGGUGUUCAGCUCCCGCCAGGCACUGAACGGCCACGCCCGCAUCCAUGGUGGCACCAACCAGGUGACCAAAGCCCGAGGUGCCAUCCCCGCCGGGAAGCAGAAGCCCAGCAGUGCUCAGAGCGGGUACGGCUCGGUGAAGAGCUCUCCCUCUCACAGCACCACCAGCGGCGAGACGGACCCCACCACCAUCUUCCCCUGCAAGGAGUGUGGCAAGGUCUUCUUCAAGAUCAAAAGUCGAAAUGCACACAUGAAGACUCACAGGCAGCAGGAGGAACAGCAGAGGCAAAAGGCCCAGAAAGCGGCUUUUGCAGCAGAAAUGGCGGCCACCAUCGAGAGGACUACGGGGCCCGUGGCGGGGCCGGGGCUGCUGCCCCUGGACCAGCUGAGUCUGAUCAAACCCAUCAAGGACGUGGACAUCCUCGAUGACGACGUCGUCCAGCAGUUAGGAGGCGUCAUGGAAGGGGCCGAGGUCGUGGAUACCGAUCUCCUCUUGGAUGAUCAAGAUACAGUUUUGCUUCAGGGUGACACGGAACUCUAAAGCCCCUGCUUGCUUAGAGACAGGAAAACCGGAAGACGGCGACCUCCAUCUUCAUUCAUCAGAAACCCGGACUGCCUGCUUGUUUUGUAACCAUUUUAAACUACCUGUUUAAAAAGUGGUCGUUUUAUUCAGUUUGGGGGUGGGGAGGGGAAUCCAGUUUCUUUUCCUUUUAUUUAAAAAAGAAAAAUGUUUUUGUGGGGUGUUGGGGGUGGGGAAUAAAUAAUUGGCACAAAUAUCUUUAAGAGGUGUUUCAUCCGGGCUACAUUCUCAUGAAAUCCCUCCUGGCAGGUAAUGAACCUGGGGUUCGUGUUCCAUUUGCUUUCAGAUGUCAGCCAUCUGGUUGACCUUUAUCCCAGAGUUUGCCCUGUGUGUGUGUGUGUGAGAGAGAGAGUGUGUAUGAAGCAGGCUACCUUCUUCAGGCUGAGGCCUGGGGCCAUCCUUUCCCACCAAGAGUUAUUUCUGUUGGGUUUUGACUUCAUUCUGUAGUUUGUAGUGACCUUGGUGUCUCUGCCAGGAGACCGUAGACGAGAGGUAGUUUUCCCGGGAAGCAAAGGGAGUCUUCAUGUUGCGUGGCCUUCCUCUAGCGAACAUGUCAUUGGAAGAGCUGACCAAAUGUGAAAAUAGGUUUUCACUCUGCCUUGCCCGUCACUUUGUUGGCCUGUUUACAGGAGCUCAGUACUGUAUGACUUCAGGCGUUCGCUUCCCGUGGCGGUGAUUUACCAAGGACCCGGUUUGUAGAAUAGACAUGCCCAUUUCCGUGUUCCCUGGGGCUGGUCAGCUGUGAAUGGCGGGUUCCCAGAGCUGUGUUUCCCUUGAGUUGACUGGAGACCUGUCCUAAGAAAACCGGCCCCAACUUUUAAAUGUCCAGGGCUGCACAGGAUGCUUUCAUUUUUAGGGAGGGUGGUAGAGGAGCACACACUGCAAUACCUAGAAUGCCAGAAGUGUUUCUUUGCCCAAAGAAAAAUCCGAAGAGCCUAUUCUUUUUGCAACACUGUUAAUGGUGAAUGGAGUUCUGAAAUCACUUUGUGCCAUUUGGAAGUACUGUGAAACCUCAUUUACUAGGAUUUUGCUGUAAUUUGUGUAUACUGGACUAGUCCACCUUGAUACUAGCUAUGAGAAAAAAAGAUUUUCUAACAAAUUUUAUAGCAAAUGCAAGGGAAAUAGCAUUGAAGGCCAACAAAAAUGAUUUUGGAUACCACUUUAGCUACAAUGUUUGCAUUCAAACAAGUCAUUUACCAAAGCACUUCUAGAAUUCUCCAGGGUCACAUCCUUUGCCCUGCUUCCUCCUCCCUGUCAGCAGGGGGUGCUGUUUGGACUUGUAGGUAACAAAUCUGUAAUGCUUCAAAAAGGCCAUUCAGCUCAGGCUUUUGACUGAAUCAGGCUGACUUCUCUCACUGCCACAGCAAACGAGGGCAUCGUCAGACUGGAACACAGCCCCGGCACAAGGGUCCCUGCUGCUCACCAGCUCCCCCUUGGACAUUAAUGCUGCGAAACUUCUGCAGCAGGUGUUUUCAGGCCUUGCCCCACCCCAGGCAGGCUAACUGUUCCCCAGCUGGGUGUAAAUGUGGUGAUCAUACUGGGCCACUUUGCUGGCAAAUGAAUAGCUUUAGACCUUAGACUAUCAGCAGAAGCAUGAUGAAACUGCUUUUAAGUUGAUCCUGCCAAAGCAUUUGGCCCACACUCACCCGAAGGCCAGCUGUGGCCCAGAGCAGCCCCACAUGGGCAAUGUUCUCUGAAUCUCAGGAAAGCCACGGACAGAAGAAAACAAAGAUUCUUUUUUUCCAUCUUUUUUUUUUUUUCCAGAAAAGAGAUCUUUGAGGUUUCCCUCAUCCUUUUUUUAGGGGGAAAAAAGGUGUUUUUAUUUGCUGCCAUUUCAGACAGGUUGUUACAGCUUUUGUUUUACUAUCUAAGCAGUUCUGAGUUAAGAACUGCCUUGGCAGUAGUGGCAGAACUAUUACAGAACCACUCCAACUGUAAUAUCGUUGGCCGACACAGAUGGCAUCUGCCCCUGUGCCCACUUCCUGCCACUUACUGGUGUCUGAGAGUGAUUCUGGAAUCAUUCUGCUACUGGGACAAUAGAAUCUUACCUAUCAAAGGAGCAAACACCUAGAAAAAUGUUUAUAAAGCAAAUGUAUUCCUUCUUUUUGGAAACUUGCCCAGAUGUUCUGGUUUUAAAUGUUAAAAAUGUUUAAAGUUGCCAAGUUAAAAAUAAAAUCACAAUUUAAUUUUAAUUUCCCAUGCAGUAUAAUGUAAGGAUUUUUUACUUGAAGUAACCAAAGAACUCCUCCUGAAUGAGACAGUUCAAAUCCCUGAAUUAAUAAUUCUUGGCAAUAUCAACUAAAAAAAUUGACUUCAUAGUAAAAUAUUGCACUUACUUUUUUUUCCUGAGAUGAUUCUGCCUGCAUGUAUGUGUUGUGUUUUAGCUUCCCCCCUGCCCCCAAAGAAUUUUUCUUUCUAACAGUUGUCUUCAACAUGGUUACUGUUUACUAUCAGAUGGUUUUUCAUUAGUGAAUUUAGACCUCUUUGAGAAAGCUUGUAUAUAAAAAGUUAACAGAUAUAUUUUAUGGAAAAACCCAUCUUAUUUUCAAAUAUAUUUAACUGCUGUUAUAUUUUAUUAGAGGAAGGGUGUAAAUAUUUUCUAGGAGUUCUAUUGUAAAGAAAAGUAUUUUUGAAAAACUUAAUGUAAUAAAAACAAAAACAUUUUUAAAUAGUGGUUGUGAUUGCUUCCUGUUCUGGCUUCGUUAUGUUCUCUUCUCAGCAUUUGACUGGCAUGCCUUCCUAUUUCAGGAUGUAAUUUAUUCAGGUUUGCACUAUUAUAAGUUGACAUCAUAAUAUCUAGUGUGCUUAAAUGUAUUUUCCUGGAAUGCAGGUCCCUUGGUCCAUAUCAAAAGCACUGUGUAUAGCAUAUUCAUAAUUUUUCUUUUGUAAUGUGUGUAUUUUUAAUAAGAAUUUUAUGUAACAUUUUGGCAAAAAAAGGACAGUAUUUUCUAGUGAAUUUUAUAAUAACAUUUUGCUAAAAAUGUUUCUUCCUAGGUUAGGUUUUGUUAAGAUGAACCAAAAGUCUUAUUUUACCAGGGGUUUAAAAAAAAAGUUUGAAGUUUGAAAGCAAAGUUAUAUUUAAACAUCAUAUGUAACAAAUAAAAAUGUUUUAUAGUCUUGUCCAAAAAAAAGGACAUUCCUUAAAAAACUGGGGCAUUCUAGGUUGUUGAUUUUCCCCCUGAGUGAUAAGCAUUUUUUUUUAAUUAUCACCAUAAAUUUUUUUCAGAAAAAGAACCCGGAAAUUUUUGCUUAAAACGUUGCAGUCAUUCCUUUCUCAGAAAUUCAUUACAGUUCCUAUACAUGGCCAUUCAUCAAACAGAUGUAACCAAAUAGACACUGUCGUAUUUAUUUGUGAAAACCUGGAUCAAUAUUGCAUCGGCUGCUCUGAAAAUAAAAUAUUAUCUUUUUGAGUUUCAUUUGGCUUAAA